rnacentral:rRNA from 1 species
UACGUAGGGUGCAAGCGUUAAUCGGAAUUACUGGGCGUAAAGCGUGCGCAGGCGGCUUUGCAAGACAGAUGUGAAAUCCCCGGGCUCAACCUGGGAACUGCAUUUGUGACUGCGUGGCUGGAGUGCGGCAGAGGGGGAUGGAAUUCCGCGUGUAGCAGUGAAGUGCGUAGAUAUGCGGAGGAACACCGAUGGCGAAGGCAGCCCCCUGGGUCAAGAUUGACGCUCAUGCACGAAAGCGUGGGGAGCAAACAGG